rnacentral:rRNA from 1 species
UGGGAAUUUGGACAAUGGGCGAAGCCUGAUCCAGCAAUGCCGCGUGUGUGAAGAAGGCCUUCGGGUUGUAAAGCACUUUUGUCCGGAAAGAAAUCCUUGGCUCUAAUACAGUCGGGGGAUGACGGUACCGGAAGAAUAAGCACCGGCUAACUACGUGCCAGGCAGCCGCGGUAAUACGUAGGGUGCAAGCGUUAAUCGGAAUUACUGGGCGUAAAGCGUGCGCAGGCGGUUUGCUAAGACCGAUGUGAAAUCCCCGGGCUCAACCUGGGAACUGCAUUGGUGACUGGCAGGCUAGAGUAUGGCAGAGGGGGGUAGAAUUCCACGUGUAGCAGUGAAAUGCGUAGAGAUGUGGAGGAAUACCGAUGGCGAAGGCAGCCCCCUGGGCCAAUACUGACGCUCAUGCACGAAAGCGUGGGGAGCAAAC